rnacentral:tRNA from 1 species
AGUACUGCGCCGGGGAUGAUCGGGCCAGAUUGAUGUUUUGGGAUUCGAGGUUAAAGUAUACCUUCAGUGCUA